rnacentral:rRNA from 1 species
GAUUAAGUUAUUAAGGGCGCACGGUGGAUGCCUUGGCACUAGAAGCCGAUGAAGGACGUUACUAACGACGAUAUGCUUUGGGGAGCUGUAAGUAAGCUUUGAUCCAGAGAUUUCCGAAUGGGGAAACCCAACAUGAGUUAUGUCAUGUUAUCGAUAUGUGAAUACAUAGCAUAUCAGAAGGCACACCCGGAGAACUGAAACAUCUUAGUACCCGGAGGAAGAGAAAGAAAAUUCGAUUCCCUUAGUAGCGGCGAGCGAAACGGGAAGAGCCCAAACCAACAAGCUUGCUUGUUGGGGUUGUAGGACACUCUAUACGGAGUUACAAAGGACGACAUUAGACGAAUCAUCUGGAAAGAUGAAUCAAAGAAGGUAAUAAUCCUGUAGUCGAAAAUGUUGUCUCUCUUGAGUGGAUCCUGAGUACGACGGAACACGUGAAAUUCCGUCGGAAUCUGGGAGGACCAUCUCCUAAGGCUAAAUACUCUCUAGUGACCGAUAGUGAACCAGUACCGUGAGGGAAAGGUGAAAAGCACCCCGGAAGGGGAGUGAAAUAGAACCUGAAACCGUGUGCUUACAAGUAGUCAGAGCCCGUUAAUGGGUGAUGGCGUGCCUUUUGUAGAAUGAACCGGCGAGUUACGAUUUGAUGCAAGGUUAAGCAGUAAAUGUGGAGCCGUAGCGAAAGCGAGUCUGAAUAGGGCGUUUAGUAUUUGGUCGUAGACCCGAAACCAGGUGAUCUACCCUUGGUCAGGUUGAAGUUCAGGUAACACUGAAUGGAGGACCGAACCGACUUACGUUGAAAAGUGAGCGGAUGAACUGAGGGUAGCGGAGAAAUUCCAAUCGAACCUGGAGAUAGCUGGUUCUCUCGAAAUAGCUUUAGGGCUAGCCUCAAGUGAUGAUUAUUGGAGGUAGAGCACUGUUUGGACGAGGGGCCCCUCUCGGGUUACCGAAUUCAGACAAACUCCGAAUGCCAAUUAAUUUAACUUGGGAGUCAGAACAUGGGUGAUAAGGUCCGUGUUCGAAAGGGAAACAGCCCAGACCACCAGCUAAGGUCCCAAAAUAUAUGUUAAGUGGAAAAGGAUGUGGCGUUGCCCAGACAACUAGGAUGUUGGCUUAGAAGCAGCCAUCAUUUAAAGAGUGCGUAAUAGCUCACUAGUCGAGUGACACUGCGCCGAAAAUGUACCGGGGCUAAACAUAUUACCGAAGCUGUGGAUUGUCCUUUGGACAAUGGUAGGAGAGCGUUCUAAGGGCGUUGAAGCAUGAUCGUAAGGACAUGUGGAGCGCUUAGAAGUGAGAAUGCCGGUGUGAGUAGCGAAAGACGGGUGAGAAUCCCGUCCACCGAUUGACUAAGGUUUCCAGAGGAAGGCUCGUCCGCUCUGGGUUAGUCGGGUCCUAAGCUGAGGCCGACAGGCGUAGGCGAUGGAUAACAGGUUGAUAUUCCUGUACCACCUAUAAUCGUUUUAAUCGAUGGGGGGACGCAGUAGGAUAGGCGAAGCGUGCGAUUGGAUUGCACGUCUAAGCAGUAAGGCUGAGUAUUAGGCAAAUCCGGUACUCAUUAAGGCUGAGCUGUGAUGGGGAGAAGACAUUGUGUCUUCGAGUCGUUGAUUUCACACUGCCGAGAAAAGCCUCUAGAUAGAAAAUAGGUGCCCGUACCGCAAACCGACACAGGUAGUCAAGAUGAGAAUUCUAAGGUGAGCGAGCGAACUCUCGUUAAGGAACUCGGCAAAAUGACCCCGUAACUUCGGGAGAAGGGGUGCUCUUUAGGGUUAACGCCCAGAAGAGCCGCAGUGAAUAGGCCCAAGCGACUGUUUAUCAAAAACACAGGUCUCUGCUAAACCGUAAGGUGAUGUAUAGGGGCUGACGCCUGCCCGGUGCUGGAAGGUUAAGAGGAGUGGUUAGCUUCUGCGAAGCUACGAAUCGAAGCCCCAGUAAACGGCGGCCGUAACUAUAACGGUCCUAAGGUAGCGAAAUUCCUUGUCGGGUAAGUUCCGACCCGCACGAAAGGCGUAACGAUUUGGGCACUGUCUCAACGAGAGACUCGGUGAAAUCAUAGUACCUGUGAAGAUGCAGGUUACCCGCGACAGGACGGAAAGACCCCGUGGAGCUUUACUGUAGCCUGAUAUUGAAAUUCGGCACAGCUUGUACAGGAUAGGUAGGAGCCUUUGAAACGUGAGCGCUAGCUUACGUGGAGGCGCUGGUGGGAUACUACCCUAGCUGUGUUGGCUUUCUAACCCGCACCACUUAUCGUGGUGGGAGACAGUGUCAGGCGGGCAGUUUGACUGGGGCGGUCGCCUCCUAAAAGGUAACGGAGGCGCUCAAAGGUUCCCUCAGAAUGGUUGGAAAUCAUUCAUAGAGUGUAAAGGCAUAAGGGAGCUUGACUGCGAGACCUACAAGUCGAGCAGGGUCGAAAGACGGACUUAGUGAUCCGGUGGUUCCGCAUGGAAGGGCCAUCGCUCAACGGAUAAAAGCUACCCCGGGGAUAACAGGCUUAUCUCCCCCAAGAGUUCACAUCGACGGGGAGGUUUGGCACCUCGAUGUCGGCUCAUCGCAUCCUGGGGCUGUAGUCGGUCCCAAGGGUUGGGCUGUUCGCCCAUUAAAGCGGUACGCGAGCUGGGUUCAGAACGUCGUGAGACAGUUCGGUCCCUAUCCGUCGUGGGCGUAGGAAAUUUGAGAGGAGCUGUCCUUAGUACGAGAGGACCGGGAUGGACAUACCUCUGGUGUACCAGUUGUCGUGCCAACGGCAUAGCUGGGUAGCUAUGUGUGGACGGGAUAAGUGCUGAAAGCAUCUAAGCAUGAAGCCCCCCUCAAGAUGAGAUUUCCCAACUUCGGUUAUAAGAUCCCUCAAAGAUGAUGAGGUUAAUAGGUUCGAGGUGGAAGCAUGGUGACAUGUGGAGCUGACGAAUACUAAUCGAUCGAAGACUUAAUCAA